ensembl:snRNA U6 U6 spliceosomal RNA
AUGCUCACUUGGCAGCACACACACUAAAACUGUAAUGAUACAGAGAAGAUUAGCAUGGCCCCUCACAAGGAUGACACUCAAACUUGUGAAGCAUUCCAUCUUUUA